CCUGCCCCGGGGGGAGGCUGCGCCCCCGGCCCCGCUCACCUGCCGGCUGCCGCGGCCCGGCACUGGCCAGGCGGCCCGGCUCCGCCCCGCGGCCGCCGAACCGGAUCGGCAUCUGCCCCGGCAGCCGCUGGAAGAACCGGAGCCGGAGCCGCUGGGGGGCCGGGCGCCCGUCCCGGAGUCCGGGGCCAGCGAGAGCUGCUGGAUCGUGGGCACUUUGCGGCGCCUCCUUGGGAACAGGUGGUGGAGGAAAGCUUGAAAACAUGAAGCAUCCUAAAUGCACAGAAACCAGAAGGCAGAGAAAAGCAACACAGCAUUCAUUGCUUUUUAAACAAUCUCAGGAUUGUAAAGCCAAUCUCAGGACUUCUGGAGGCCUGACACAUGAUUUUUCCAUGAACAGGGUUGGCGAUACUGGCCGUGUGACCAAAAAUGGGCACUAAAACCCAUCAACUGACAAAGAGGGUAGUAGCAUCCUGGGGACGAGUCCAGGCGGCAGCAAGAGCCCAGAGGAAGCUAGUUUCAGCAGAAAAUCUGCUCCAGACGAGAGAAGAGGCAGCCUUGACAUCUCCUUCUCUCUCAAAAUGCGACUCCUCCCUCCGGGAAAUGAGAAUGUGGGGAUUAGAGAUGCCUUGGCCAGAGCAAGUGUUUCAUCUGUCUCAGGCAUUCCCUAGAAUCAAGAACCCUGGACCCACUUCUUUCAGGGAGGGACAACAGCAGAGAUGUGGAGAUGACAAACAUCAGAGCCAGGAAAUCCAAUCACACCCUCCAGGCUGUGCAUAUCACAAACAAGCUAUCCAGAGGAACAACAACAAAAUCUUUUUUUUGCACCAGCUGUGUGAAUCCAGCUACUCGGACCCAAGAAAUCCAUAACAGAAUGGAGAAAAGAAGCAUCUUUUACAUCCAGCCUAAUAAAAGGAUUUUUAUUUUUUAGCCCAAUAAAAGUUCUGGAAAACAAAAUUACUUGUAGUUAAGACAGGAAGAAAUUGCCAAAAGCUUACAAUGGAAUAGAAUGUGAAAUUAAUCUGCAGUUACACAGAGCUGGUUCUUACUGAGUUACUUCCAUUUUUAUAUCCAUCAUUGUGCACUGUGUACAUCAGGCACUCUAAAGAAUUAGCUGACCCACCCUGAAUCUAGUUUGUAAAGGAUACCAAAUGGUAUGUUCAGUGCAUGUGGUAAGCUUUUAUGUGCUUCUCCCCUAUGGCCAAUCUCAGACUGAUAAUUUAUUUCAG